rfam:Ictidomys tridecemlineatus contig002412, whole genome shotgun sequence.
GUGUUGUGGCUCAGCGGUAGAGCACUCACCUUGCACGUGGGAGACCUUGGGUUCGAUUCUCAGCACUCACA